rnacentral:rRNA from 1 species
ACCUUACCAGCCCUUGACAUGUCCGGCUCACCACAGAGAUGUGGUUUUCCCUUCGGGGACCGGAACACAGGUGCUGCAUGGCUGUCGUCAGCUCGUGUCGUGAGAUGUUGGGUUAAGUCCCGCAACGAGCGCAACCCUCGCCCUUAGUUGCCAGCAUUUAGUUGGGCACUCUAAGGGGACUGCCGGUGAUAAGCCGAGAGGAAGGUGGGGAUGACGUCAAGUCCUCAUGGCCCUUACGGGCUGGGCUACACACGUGCUACAAUGGUGGUGACAGUGGGCAGCGAAGGAGCGAUCCCGAGCUAAUCUCCAAAAGCCAUCUCAGUUCGGAUUGCACUCUGCAACUCGAGUGCAUGAAGUUGGAAUCGCUAGUAAUCGCGGAUCAGCACG